CUGGUGCCAGCAGCCGCGGUAAUUCCAGCUCCAAUAGCGUAUAUUAAAGUUGUUGCAGUUAAAAGCUCGUAGUUGAAUUUCGGGACUAAUAUGUCGGUCGUACUUUGUACGUACUAGCAUUAUUGGCUUCUCCCUUCUGACGAACCACGAUGUCAUUAAUUUGGUGUCGCGGGAAAUCAGGACUGUUACUUUGAAAAAAUUAGAGUGUUUAAAGCAAGCUCGCGCUUGAAUACAUUAGCAUGGAAUAAUGAAAUAGGACGUUUGAUUCUAUUUUGUUGGUUUCUAGGAUCGACGUAAUGAUUAAUAGGGAUAGUUGGGGGCAUUAGUAUUCAAUUGUCAGAGGUGAAAUUCUUGGAUUUAAUUGAAGACUAACUACUGCGAAAGCAUUUGCCAAGGAUGUUUUCAUUAAUCAAGAACGAAAGUUAGGGGGAUCGAAGACGAUCAGAUACCGUCGUAGUCUUAAACCAUAAACUAUGCCGACUAGGGAUCGGAUGAUGUUAAUUUUUAAUGACUCAUUCGGCGCCUUACG
rnacentral:rRNA from 1 species